UUGAACGCUGGCGGCAUGCUUUACACAUGCAAGUCGAACGGCAGCACGGGGGCAACCCUGGUGGCGAGUGGCGAACGGGUGAGUAAUAUAUCGGAACAUGUCCGGAAGUGGGGGAUAACGUACCGAAAGGUACGCUAAUACCGCAUACGAUCUACGGAUGAAAGCAGGGGACCGCAAGGCCUUGCGCGGACGGAGCGGCCGAUGGCAGAUUAGGUAGUUGGUGGGAUAAAAGCUUACCAAGCCGACGAUCUGUAGCUGGUCUGAGAGGACGACCAGCCACACUGGGACUGAGACACGGCCCAGACUCCUACGGGAGGCAGCAGUGGGGAAUUUUGGACAAUGGGCGAAAGCCUGAUCCAGCCAUGCCGCGUGCAGGAUGAAGGCCUUCGGGUUGUAAACUGCUUUUGUACGGAACGAAAAGACUCCUUCUAAUACAGGGGGUCCAUGACGGUACCGUAAGAAUAAGCACCGGCUAACUACGU
rnacentral:rRNA from 1 species